UUGUGGCCACGUCAAGUUGAAACGCCAAUUUCUGUAUGAACACCAAAGUUAAGCAACAUUGAGCCUGGUCAAUACCUAGAUGGGUGACCGUUUGGUAAUUCAAUGUGCUGUAAG